GAUGAACGCUGGCGGCGUGCUUAACACAUGCAAGUCGAACGAUGAAGUUGGAGCUUGCUCCGGUGGAUUAGUGACGAACGGGUGAGUAACACGUGCGUAAUCUGCUAUUGACUCUGAGAUAACUGCGGUAAACUGUAACUAAUAACGUAUACUUUCACUGGAAGGUAUCUUCUGGAGAAGAUAGACUUUCGGUCAAGGAUGAGCUCGCGGCCUAUCAGAUUGGUGGUGAGAUAACGGCUCACCAAGGCGACGACGGGUAGCCGGCCGGAGAGGGUGACCGGCCACACUGGGACUGAGACACGGCCCAGACUCCUACGGGAGGCAGCAGUGGGGAAUAUUGCACAAUGGGCGCAAGCCUGAGUCAGCAACGCCGCGGGAGGGAGGAAUGCCUUCGGGUUGUAAACCUCUUUUAGCAGGGAAGAAGCGAAAGUGACGGUACCGGCAGAAAAAGCACCGGCUAACUACGUGCCAGCAGCCGCCGUAA
rnacentral:rRNA from 1 species